rnacentral:rRNA from 1 species
UACAGAGGUCUCAAGCGUUGUCCGGAAUCAUUGGGCGUAAAGGGUGCGUAGGCGGCGCGGUAAGUCGGGUGUGAAAUCUCGGAGCUUAACUCCGAAACUGCAUUCGAUACUGCCGUGCUUGAGGACUGGAGAGGAGACUGGAAUUUACGGUGUAGCGGUGAAAUGCGUAGAUAUCGUAAGGAAGACCAGUGGCGAAGGCGGGUCUCUGGACAGUUCCUGACGCUGAGGCACGAAGGCCAGGGGAGCAAACGGG